GGCGCUGGACCAGGAAGCCCAUGAUCUGCACCUGCUUCUGGUUGUCGAAGGCCACCAGGCGCACGUAGGCAUCGGGGAAGGCCUUGGUGCAGGCGACGAUCUCGCGCAGCACCUGCAUGGGGUCGCGGCAGCCGAACAUGGGCAGCUUCCACAUGGUCCAGUAGCGGUUGUCGUAGUACAGCUGCGGGCGCACGGGAAAUGGGAGGGAGAAGAGGUUCAGUCACCAGCGCACAGAACCACCAAAGAUGGAAUUGGGCCCCUUGCUUUUCCGUGCUGAAGCACGAGCAGGGGUAUGCGUCAGUUCCCCGCGGUGAGAUAGGCGCUGUCCCGGUGCCAAGCUAACCCAGUGCCACAGUGGACCCGUCUGGCUCUCGCUCCGACUUACGCAAGACACGCUGCCGAAGCGGAUGGCCGACUCGUUGGACACGUAGGCCUUGUCGGCCUCAGCGAACUCCAGGCAGGGGAUCCAGCCUGCAAGCGACAGCACGAAGGGGGUAAGAUAAGUGGCCGACGCAAGCAGUCCAGGGCUAUCCCAGAUAAGGGCGGAUGACAGGCAAACUAUACAGCAGACAACGAACAAGCUAAUCUCAAGCUUCGAGCGAUCGUAAUGUCGCAGUCUGCAGCUACGCCCUAGAUCGUAUUAACUAGCUCUCAAACACAGCCCAGCUACAUAUGCCCACGGCACCAAGCCGUGCUCACCGUUGGCGACGAUGUAGUCGACCUGGGCGGCGAUCUGCUCGUCGGUCAGAGGAGGCAGGUAGGAGAAGGUCUCGAACAUCCUGCGAUCACGCGAUUGACCAGUACUCGUUAGAAGUGGCAGAGCACGUGCGAUGUGAGGCAGCAGGCUGGGCCCCAAGCAAUUGCGUCGCGACUUGCAGAAUCCCUAUCCUUCGGGCUGCGCUUGCUCGUCGACUCACUUGUUGUUGACCGGGGUCCAGACCAUCAUCUGGUUGGCCUGAGCCGGGGCAGCCACGGGGGCAGCCUUGACGGCGGGCUUCAGCGCGGCCAUGGGGCGCACGCUGGAGCGGGCCGGGCGAGCCACGGCCGCGGAGACGGAGGACUUGGCAAUGACGGCGGCCAUUUUAGAUGUUUGAGAAAGUGGUCGAAUGAACGAGUAAGUUCUUGGGACAAAGACUCGGAGGUGGCCGGUCGCCGUUUUCAAUCCCCGCUCGCCGAUGACCCGUACGGCAGGCUUAUCCGACUCGUCGGCUUUCACGACCGCCCGAGCCUGCGCGCUUCAUCCGCUUCCGGAUAGCUUGCUACGAUAAUGCAUUAUUCAAUUUUACGACGCAAUGUCAUGAGCAGCGCCGGGCGGGCUUAUUUACAUGCGUCGCCUCGCUCGCCGUUGACUUGAUACUUUGGAAAUUCGGGCUCGAUUCGUUGCUACAGCCUGCCUUUUGCACACAAUGUGAACGUCGAUUCUACAUUUGUAUGUGACUGAACUUCGCGGCCCCUACUGAACGUUUCGUGCAAGCGACAUGUCGACUCACAACUUGGAGGAACGCGCGAGGGGUCCCCACACGCACUUUCAGCCUGCUUUGGCGAAAUGGACAUGAUAGGUAUAGCCAGGAUAUGGGUCUGCUAGCUCGCCUGGUGUUUUGACCGUCGAUCGGUUUCGCGUUGGGCCUUGCGGCUGCUCGCUCGCCGCGGAUGCUUCCGCACACUGCGCGGCACGUGUUAGUCUGUGCACGACGACGGUUUGUUUGUAUUGCGCCGCCAACGUUCAACGGUGGUGGUAGGUUCGAAUGUCAGAAUGUCGGGCACGGGGACCUUGGGCGCAUUGCCUACAAGCGCGUGCCUGUGUUUUUGGGGGGCAGAGAAGUGAGCCUGCCUAUUGGGUCACAAUAGCACAGAGGCGGGUGGCCAGCGUCGGGAACUGGUUCAGAACGGCUGCAGGGACAGCACCGUGCGUGCGUGUGUGUGUGGGGGGAGCCUUCAAAGUUGACGAGCUUCGCAGCGCUGGGAUGGACUGGCAUUGCGUGCUUGAGUUUGCGUCCCGUGAGAACCCUGCAGUUUAUGGCGGAGACAGGGAAGAGGGAAUGGGAUCGCGCCGGUGCAGGGAAAGGGCACGAAUCUGAGGUUACGGUAUCUGGGGGGAGGUGCCCAUGUGGGAGGGGAAGCCUAACUGCCUGUCUGGGUGCAGACCAGGAAUGGCAACACGUGAACGGUUAGUAGAGAGCUGUGUGCUGUUGGGCGCUCUCGGCAAGGGGCGUGGGAGGGGGCUGGGUUGGUGGGCGGCUGUCCGCACAGUGCCUAGCAGUGCGCACUCAGGCCCUUCGCAGACCGAAGAGGGCGCCAGGGCCUAUGCGCGCGUGGCUUGGCGUGAGGUUCUUGCUGUUGGCGUCAGGCGCCGCAAAAGGCCGGGUGGCUCUGCAGUGUCCUGCUCGCUUGGCGUGCGGCAAAGUGGUUCAGUCAGCGAGCGCAGUGUAUGCGUGUGUGCGUGUAUGCGUGUGCGUGCGUGUGUGUGUGUGUGUGUGUGUGUGUGUGUGUGUGUGUGUGGUUGCUGCGGAGAGGGCACGCAGCGACACGAGAUUGCCAUGCAGUGGUGCAAGCUGCUGGGGUCGGGUAAACGGGGUGGGAAAGUUGGUGAUGGUGGAAUGUUCUUGUGGCACGAACUGGCCUUGUGCGUAUUCGUUCGCCCCGUUCACUCUGGUCCACCAAUCCCACAGUCACUGCACUUAAAUGCCUAAAAGCCCCUGCUACGGUGCGGACAGGGUAAGGCCACGGCAGGUCUAAGUCCAUAUGCGCCCGUAGAGGUUCGAGUGCGUUAACCGGUCGCAAGGUGUUCACAACAUGUUGAUGUGUUGACAACAUGGCUGUGGUCAAGACGUGCCCUGCGAACUUCCCGUGUUUACAUGUUAAUAGAGCUCGCUGACAGCAGUCAUUUGACACCAUUAUGGAAGAAAACAGAGGGGAUUUAGGGGGUGUACGGCACGGUAUGGCACGGUCGGUCGUCGGUCCGGGGGGUCGGGGGGUUCUGCAGGGUGGGGCCUGGAACUAUUGUUCGUACACCCCCGCCUGGCUCCCCUGCUCCCCCUGACUAACCCCUGACCUCUGGCUUUCUUCGCUUUCCUUUCAGUGUCACCAAUUCUCAUGAGUGGGGGCGCACCCCGAAAUAAGCGGGUACGGUGCUUCAGUUCAGUGCUUGCCACGGCCUCAAGAGCCCCAAACCACGUGCACCGAAAUUCGCUUGCACUCCAAAUGCACUGGGAAGCCAGUAGCAGCGCGCUCUCAAAUGCUGGCAUGUGUCUCUCUCUGUCCAGAGCCUGAAUGCGCCAAGUCUGCUACGGUAGGAGGGUGCAACCCGUGGCCCGCCUUGAACCGCGCUUGCACACACAGCUGGAUUGCUGCUGGCAUGACCGUGUGAAAGAGGUACAGGCAGCCGGGCAAGUCCCAGCGGGCAGGUUGGUGUAGGCUAUGCCCCAUAACAGGCCCGUGCAUGCUGCCACGGACUUCUCGCCAGGAAUGUAAGUCCCGAUGCUAGACAAUUACUCCAGCAGCUGCAUGCCGCCAUCUUCAGUACUCGGUAUCCCUUGGUGCACGCAAGUCAAGGAUCAGUCCCAGGGCUCACCCUGGAGCAAUGCAGCCUGCGUGUGCACCUGCGAUGGAGCCGCGGCCUGCGGUAUUGGCUGCCCGAUUACGAAGCUGCGGGUGGGGGCAGUUGGCACGCAUUCCGCCACAGACCCCGCGAGCCUAGCCGCACCCAAGCUCUAAGCGGCCUAGACCGUGACCAAAGGCGAAGAAGCCGCGGCCAUCCCUGCGCUCAGAUUGCAUUGGUUACAAGAGGGACCUGCUGACGCAGUUCAUGGCUUCAUGCGCUCAGAGCCCGAGCCCUGAGCGGCAGCAAAAGCAGAAGCCACGCUACGUGUGCUAGCUACGACCAAUGCCUUGUACAGCUCUCCUCGGCUGCGCUCUUCGGCUGCGCUCCUCGGCUGCGCGGGACAGGGGACUCCGUGCAACCACUAUUGCUUAUAGCCUGCACCAGUCAUUGACGAGUGUUGCGGAACUAAUGCGUACGUAGACCAGAGCGGAAGGCGGAGUGGGCUUGCAGGCGGCACGAGAGUAGGCAGUCAGUAGCGCAAGUUGCGAAUUCCCAUGUUACCUCGUAACCGACGGUAAACGCUGUGGACGGUCGCGCCCAUGGCUGGCUGACGGAAGCUGGCUGCGGUAUUGGGAUGGCUGGGCUGGAUGACGCCGGCCGGGCUGGCGUUGGGACUACCAGAAAGGAUGCGCCCGAAACCAACCUGGAGAACACCAGCGCCACCGGUGCCCAGCACGACAUGUAAGGGAGGGAGGGAGGGACAGGAGGCGUGAUGCACUGCAGCGUAGAAGCUGCAGUCAUGGGCACAGCUUGUACCAUACAGCACGGUCAUCAAGGACACAAUGCCGGAACGGCAUCAUACGAGGCGGGGUUGGGAGCUGCAGGAAGUGGGCAGCGGGGCAGAAUCAAAGGUUUGCAUCGUUUAGAACAGGUGCGGAACACGCGCCAGCGCCAGCGCGGAGGACCCCAAGUAAGGCCUUUACUCACCAAUGUACGUUUUGUACACCCAAUCUCGCCCCCUAUCGACGUUGGCACUAGGUAGCUGGCUAUCAUUCUAUGCAGAUUAAGCAAAGGGGCACCGGGAACAACUGACUCAUGUUCGUCACUGCAGGUUACUGCAAAUGCUGUCUCCACCUUUGCUGCACGGUUCCGUUUCGUCACGUUUGCUGGUGUUGCUACCCGCCGUUCUUUAGUGUGUAACUGAUCUGCGAACCGAGUCCCCUUCAGCUGAUGAACCCCGCAGCAACUUUUCCAAAAGCGCUUCAAAUACGCCCAGCCCGCCCAUGGAGAAAGAGGCCAAAAUCAACGGAGGAUCGUUACAACCAACAAAAUUGCAAAACUCCUCCGCUUUUUACGUGUUGAAAAAGACUGAUCAGCACGAAACGGGGAGCUAAGCUACCGCUUCAGCACUUGAGAGCAGUAUCUUCCAUCCACCGCCGUUCGUCAGGGGGCAAGGCUCAGAUCAACGAGCGCCUCCAUUUACACGGAGCGCUUGUUGGCGGGCUGCCAGUCGCGGGCAGACUUGGGGCGCUGGACCAGGAAGCCCAUGAUCUGCACCUGCUUCUGGUUGUCGAAGGCCACCAGGCGCACGUAGGCAUCGGGGAAGGCCUUGGUGCAGGCGACGAUCUCGCGCAGCACCUGCAUGGGGUCGCGGCAGCCGAACAUGGGCAGCUUCCACAUGGUCCAGUAGCGGUUGUCGUAGUACAGCUGCGGGCGCACGGGAAAUGGGAGGGAGAAGAGGUUCAGUCACCAGCGCACAGAACCACCAAAGAUGGAAUUGGGCCCCUUGCUUUUCCGUGCUGAAGCACGAGCAGGGGUAUGCGUCAGUUCCCCGCGGUGAGAUAGGCGCUGUCCCGGUGCCAAGCUAACCAGUGCCACAGUGGACCCGUGUGCCAAAAGCUAACCCAGUGCCACAGUGGACCCGUCGGGCUCUCGCCAGACUUACGCAAGACACGCUGCCGAAGCGGAUGGCCGACUCGUUGGACACGUAGGCCUUGUCCGACUCAGCGAACUCCAGGCAGGGGAUCCAGCCUGCAAGCAAGGGGAUGAAGGGUGCCGCGAAGGGUGAACGAGGGACAAAGACACGGACAGGAACCGGAUAAGGGGCGGCUUGACCAAGAACUCACGCUCCGACCGCUACUUCGGCAACCCAAAUAAGUGAUUCCACGCUAUGGCUCUGUCGCUGUCGUAUAGCCCGGCUGGUAGCAGCUGGAAAGCUCAAGUGAGGCUGGACAAGCCGCGCUGGCAUGAGUGCAAGCUGUUUGCCCAAGAAAAAGCCGCCGAAAGCCCAGGCUGACUGCAGAUUCCUGACUUGGGCACUGUUCGUUGCUGGAGUGUUGCUCGCAACCCCGCAAGCUCACCGUUGGCGACAAUGUAGUCGACCUGGGCGGCGAUCUGCUCGUCGCUCAGGGGGGGCAGGUAGGAGAAGGUCUCGAACAUCCUGCAAAUGGAAACGGCGACGCAGGGUUAGAUGCUGCUUGAGACAGCGACAGAGGAGCCAAAAGCCUUCGUCGACACAAUGCGGGCGUUGCAAGUCAAAUCUGCAAGCACGCUGCCUGAUCCGCCGGGCUUGCUCGUCGACUCACUUGUUGUUGACCGGGGUCCAGACCAUCAUCUGGUUGGCCUGAGCCGGGGCAGCCACGGGGGCGGCCUUGACGGCGGGCUUCAGCGCGGCCAUGGGGCGCACGCUGGAGCGGGCCGGGCGGGCCACGGCCGCGGAGACGGAGGACUUGGCAAUGACGGCGGCCAUUUUAAGAUGUUGAGUGACUUCUCUUGUAAAAAAGUAAAGAACAUAGGCCCCCUGGCCGGUUUAUCAGGAGGGCACCGCUCCAGGGGCUGCAUGCGAACUGCUUGCAUUGGCGCCUAGCCUUUGUGGGCCAGGGGGCUUCCGGAUAAGGGUUGCAAGUGCUCAAAUACCCCAUCAAACAUCAUCCUGGUUUGGCUGCGCUCCUUCUGGCGCGCCCGGGAAGCCGGGCUUGCACGCAGAGUGAGGAUGCGGCACGGGUGCACGCGCACGAUAGUCACUUUGCAUUCUCAGGACGUUCGCGACGCUAUUAAGGCUGGGUUUUAUCAAAACUAACGAGCUCGGCCACGCGGGCGAGUUCAAACCGUGGCGUGACACAACUAAUAUACGCCCCCGUCGCGGCGGCCCCGGCUGGCGCGCAAAGCAUGCCAAUUACCUUCAUCUGUCACGAAGUAUCAUAGGACGGCAGGCGGGGCAUCUGGGCCGCUCUCGCGGUGUUGCUAGGAAACAGACAAUGUUCCUGCCGUUUGUCCAGUUUUUCGUCGUUUCUGGCGCCGUGUCGCCUCUAAGAGGUAUGUGGAAGAGUUUUACCUGGCUCGCGUCGAAUGUAUAGACCCGUGCGCCGGCGCAUGCGGCGAUCCGGGUUGUGCCGACGGUCGCGGCUUGCUUGACGUGGGCUGCGUAGUUCACCACUCCCCUGGGGCACUGGGUUCAUCAUCAUUUGUACACACUGAGACAGUGCGGUACUACCAUCGUGCAGGGGACUCCGAAGUUCGGUCCACCAAUCCACCAAUGGCGCUAGGACGGGACUUGACGGGAUCGGCGUAGGACGGUGGAACGGGUGCGGUUUGCGUAAUGCAUCAGGGGGGGUCGUGACAGAGGCACGAGAGCUCCCGUCAUGCAGAACGCCGUGGAGAGCCGCUGAGGGGUUUGGAAAGGUGAAAGGGGGGGUCCUAACGGGUCCUAUGACUCGCGGUGGGUUUCUUGCAAUCAUGUCAGGUAAGCGUCGGACCCCUGCAUAAUGCAAAUUACUUUGCGUCUGUUAUACCUAAGGCAGCAAUGCACGGUGGCGGUGGGUGGUGAUCCCUUGGUCGUUCAGACUUCCGACUGCACCCUACAAAAGGACUGAACGCACAGGGAUUGGAUCCUAGGGGUGACCGCACAGGGACCUGGACCCCGCCUACCGGCGCGCGCUGGUGCUGCGUGAGCUGCUGGGCUACCCCGCCGACGUCCCGUGCCGAAGCGGCCCACCUGUACCCACCGCCGCCGGGGAAGUGACAUGGGUUAGCAACCCGGCCUAUCCACUUUGGGUCGGGGCAGCGGCGGGGCAGGGCGGGGCAGGGUGCCGACGUGCUGUGACCUGCGGGACGGCGUGUCACAAAGCGUGUGCGAGAACGGCAAGGGAAGGGGCGAACCCAGGCGCGGCCUGGACGCGUAGACAGAACUGCAGGUGCAGGCGGGCGCUUGGCGGCACCCCAGGGGGACACACGUCAUGACGUCACGACCUGCACCCAACGCGUACGCGUCCCUCCAAUGCUAGGCCGCGCCGGCGCGAGUGUCGCCCUACUGUCACCGUGUGGGACGUGGCCGUGCAACAAUGUCUCUGCGUCUCGCCACGAGCAAGUGUUCACACAUUGCGCUUCAGUGCCUUGCCAGCCCGAGCACCCGCAGUACCCAAUGCCGCCGUGUCCCGACUCCACGAUGGGGGCCAGGACAGUCUGGCCUGACCAGGCGUGCUGCCUCUCCUACCGUAGCCUACCCCGGCGCGGCGGCCGUGCUGACCAUGGGUCCCACACUACCAACUCCAUGCCGACUCGGAUGUGAACGCUAGCUGGUGUUCGGGUGCGAAUGUGCAAUUGUGCGCAGCGCCCUGCAUCCCCCGCGGCACGGGCCCCCGUGUCAGGGCCCCGCCGCCCGGUGACGUACAGAAGGCAGGGCAGAGGUCCGGGCAUGUGGGCUUCUAGGAACUUCGAAACACCACCGCUGGUCACCUUCCUGCAGAUGCGCUGCGGCUCUGCAUCGCGAGUGUGGCGUUGCGGUGUGUCUGUGUGGUGCUAUCGCCUGGCGCCGGAGCGUGAGGAAUGCGCGUCAGCAAACUUCCAGCCAGCCAGCAACUUGUCGGUACUGUAAGAGCAUCCGUCAGCAAAAGUAACUCUGGCGUUCGACCAGCCGCGCACUCCUGCCCUGCCGUUGCAAAUUGUUUGCCAUCUGCUGGGAAUCAGCUGCAUCCUACGGGACUUCACCAACCUGCCUUAACACUGUCCCAUCGCACACCCCGACCAUGCCAUGUUGACGUUCCACCCAUGCGUUACACCGUACUUGUACAGUACGGUAUGAGGGCACGCUCUGGAUAAGCUCCUUGACCCGGCAGCCGACAAGACCAUGUGACACUUUGCAUGGACUCCACAUUUCUGCUGACGGCUUCUGCCUGUGCCACGGGAGGGGCCACAUUCGAAUGUAUUCUAGCGUCCUUUGCGCUUCAUGAUCACGCACCAUACAUGACCGUGCCGAACCGUUAUCCGCAAGCCGCCAAAAAGGAAGUCGCCUUGGGAUUAUGAAUGCGACAUUACAAGAAGGCACAGUCCGUCCAAGCAUGGGUGCCCAGCCCAGCGUGCCAGCCCAGGGAUUAUGCCUUUUCUUCUCUCAGUUUGCAUCAAGGACCCAAUCACGCUGACGCAUCCUGACGCAUUCACCGCCGGAACGCUCCCAGCAGGUUAAACGCGCGCUCCUUCUUGGAAGCGGUCUCCUGCUCCGGCUCCACCUCCUCCUCGGGCUCCUCCUGCACCUCCUCCACCGGCUGCUGCUUGCGGCCCAGCAGACCGCCGAACAACUGCUGCUUGGCGCCGUUUCCGUUUCCGUUGGUAUUUCCGUUUCCGUUUCCGUUGGCGGCCUUGGCGGGCGCGGCCUUUCCGUUACCGUUACCGUUGGCCCUGCCGUUGGAAGCGCUGCCCCUUUGACGGCGGGCUUCAGCGCGGCCAUGGGGCGCACGCUGGAGCGGGCCGGGCGGGCCACGGCCGCGGAGACGGAGGACUUGGCAAUGACGGCGGCCAUUUUAAGAUGUUGAGUGACUUCUCUUGUAAAAAAGUAAAGAACGUAGGCCCCCUGGCCGGUUUAUCAGGAGGGCACCGCUCCAGGGGCUGCAUGCGAACUGCUUGCAUUGGCGCCUAGCCUUUGUGGGCCAGGAGGCUUCCGGAUAAGGGUUGCAAGUGCUCAAAUACCCCAUUAAACAUCAUCCUGGUUUGGCUGCGCUCCUUCUGGCGCGCCCGGGAAGCCGGGCUUGCACGCAGAGCGAGGAUGCGGCACCGGUGCACACGCACGAUAGUCACUUCGCAUUCUCAGGACACCUGCGACGGGUGCGGUUUGCGUAUUGCGUCAGUGGGGGGUCGUGACAGAGGCGCGAGAGGUCCUGUCAUGGCAGAACGCCAUGGAGAGCGGCUGAGAUGGUUCAGGAAGAAGACAAGGGGUGUCAGCUUUGUACAGCUGGAAAAUGGGCUGAGCCCCAUGUAGCGCAAGGGGAUGUGACGAUGGGCACCGGCGACAUGAACAGCACCCUUGCAAGCCCAUCCAGCGGGACUGGCCACUAUGCCAACGCCGUGCCGAGGCACCGACAUGCCCUGUCCCCGCCACGCCACGCCACCUUACCCACGCCACUUCACGGUCCAUGAUAUCCCAAAUGCAUCUCACCCACAUCCCACUCAAGCACCGCAAACGGCUAGCCGGGCUCGGGCGCGGGAUCCCGGGCCGCGACACAUGUAAGGCUCGGGGACGCAUGGUUUGGCUGUUGCAAACAAUUUCGACAUUCUUGCCCCAAGACGCUUGUCGUCGACAUGUUUUGAUACAUGGAUGUAAGAUAUUUAGGGGCCGAGAGCUAUACUCGUGAACUGAAGAAAGUCAAGAUGUCCAUGGACUCACGAGGUCGCUUCUCGCUCCGGCCGAGUUUUCCCUGCCGUCUAUUUUUCUACAAUAGGUAAUUGCAAUUAAUAAUACGUGGCCCGCGUUUGUGCCAGUAUGGUACUUUUUGUCGACACAGGCACACACGCACGCACGGACAGGGGCAAUCCUGGGGGGCUUCGCCCCCCCUGGAUCGCUUCGCUCAGGGGGCUCAGCCCAAAAAGGCAGUCCUAUGAGCAGCGGUGGGUUGUCUCUGCCUGCAAUCGUGUCCGUCUCGCGUCGGACCCCUGCAUAAUGAAAGUACUCUGCGCCUGUUAUACCUGGGGCAUUCAUGUGCGGUGGCAGUGGGUGGUGAAAGGUGAGGCUGGAGCUAGCGCUGCUUUGCCCCUUGGUGAUCCCUUUGUGGUGUGAACUUCCAACUGCACCAAACCAAAGGACUGAACGCACAGGAAUCGGAUCCUAGGCGUGACCAAAGUGGAGAGGGCGGGUUGCUAACGCAUGCCACUCCCCCGGCAGCGGUGGUUACAGGUGGGCCGCUUCGGCACGGGUCGGCACGGGUCAGGGCACGAGCAAUUGUUCACACAUUGCGCUUCAGUGCCUUGCCAGCCCGAGCACCCGCAGUACCCAAUGCCGCCGUGUCCCGACUCCGCGAUGGGGGCCAGGACAGUCUGGCUUGACCAGGCGUGCUGCCUCUCCUACCGUAGCCUACCCCGGCGCGGCGGCCGUGCUGACGACCACAACUGCCCUGACCAUGGUCCCACACUUCCACUCCAUGCCGACUCUGACGUGGACGCUGGUGUUCGGGUGCGAAUGUGCAAUUGUGCGCAGCGCCCUGCAUCCCCCGCGGCACGUACGGACCCCCGUGUCAGGGCGCCGCCGCCCGGUGACGUACAGAAGCCAGGGCAGAGGUUCCGGGCUGCCGGGCCCGGACCAGGCUUGCGGGCGGUCAGAACCUUCAGAGCACCACGUGUAUGCCAAAUGCCUGCACAUUGCGCGUAAUUGCCCGUCAAGUGUUUUGCUACCUGCCUGCCUCUUGCUUUGCCUGGGUCCACCCACCCCGCAUAGCACGCAUGACCCAUGCCGCAUGCAGUACGACCGGGAUGAGCCAUGCAGCCACUGCGCUGUCUCUAUCUGUCCGGCCGCCCGGCGCGCGGAGUUGUCUGCCUUUCUUUUUGGCGUAGUGUUUACAUCAGCUUCCCCUACGCCGCCUUAGGUCACCUCGUGCAACUCGGCCCGCCUUGCAGCCAGCAGCCGCGCUCCCGCGCGCUCCGAGCUGCAUUUGUCUACUGCCACUGUUGCCUCCCCGCUUCCUGCCGCUGUUGGUUCCGCCCUCUCUUCCUCACUCCGUUCCUUCCACACAUAUGCUGCUGGGCGCCAGUGGCGCUGGUGUCUCCCGGUUGGUUUCGGACAGCUCGUAUUCUGGCGUCUCCGGCGCCUUCAUUCGCGGCCGCUCCUGAUCCAGGCUCGCCAUGCCAUGCGUUACACCGUACUGUAUGCCUGUGAGUGCUCGCCCUCGUAUCACGGAAUGCUCUCUUGGGAUGCGCUCUCCCUUCUUUGUGUGUCCGUCCAUGCAGCCAGUAAAAUCAUUGGGCUCAGGGCUGGGCCAAAGCAGUACAGUUGCGCCAGCCCCGCCACUCGCCAUCAGAGUCUCUGUUUCUUCCUGAUGCGCCCAUGCUCAAUUGCUCAUAUGCUGCCGGGUUGGCAACUGUGCACGAAGUACGCAAGCUUUGUACAGGGCUCCCUCCGUUCCUAACGAGCGUCAUGAGAACUGGCCUGCAUCCAUACCUCCAUGAUAUUUAUCCCAGUUGGCUCCUGUAAACUCACUCGUGGCCGCAUUCAAAAUGCGCAGAUCCCAACUAUCAAACACCAAGGAACCCCUCUACCUAAAGGCGUGCGCCACAAUCCGCCGGGAACCUCGUGCCACUCUUUUAUAUGCGUCCCCACUCCCUCUGUCUGUGCCUUGUGAACCUGCCCAGUUCAAUUGCCGCACUUGGCAUGCCGCAGUCCUCAUUGUGUACUGUGCCCUUGAAACUUCGCCGCUGCUUGACAGGCGCGCGGCAUUCGCUUUGCCCUGGCCCGUACCACACUCUGCCGUACCUAGUCGGCCGCAGUCGGCGGGAUCUGCGCAUAGAUGGCGUAUCUAUCCGAUCGCAAUGGAGCUCUUCAUGUUGCACAACGUUAUCUUCACAAUUGCGCAAGGCUUACGGACAAGGUCCCCCUUAUGCCUCAUCAGCAGCAUGCGCCAGCACGCCUGGUGCCAUACCCAUCCAUCAGGCUACAGCGCCAAAGAAAUACCACGCAAGUGUGAAACCAACAAACACUUUUGACUUGCUUCAUAAACAAAGCUCAAUGCUUGCCGCAGCGGCGGCGUGAUCCCCACAGGUCAACCCAGCGCUCCAUCCUGCGACCGCCUACUCAUGUGCCUACUUCCAGCCCCCUCCGGAACUUACGGGCACCUCACGGGCACCUAGACGUCAGCCAACCCGCCUGCUUUGAAAGCUGUAGCCUGAAACAACCACAUUGUAGCAUUCUCAUAGGAAGCUUGAGGGGCUGGCGCUACAGUAUGAGGGCGCCGCACGCUCUGGAUAAGCUUCCGUGACCCGUCAGUCGACAUUACCAUGCGACACUUUGCAUGGACUAAAUAUUUCUGCUGACGGCUUCUGCUGCACACUCAAAAUGUAUUCUGACGUCAUAUGCGCAUCAUGAUCACGCACCACACACGACCGUGCCGCACCGUUAUUCGCAAAGCCGCGAAAAAAGAAGUCGCUUUUGGAGUUAUGCUUUUUCUUCUCUCAGUUUGCAUUGAGGUCCGAUCGCGCUGAUGCAUUUACCGCCGAAAGACUCCCAGCAGGUUAAACGCGCGCUCCUUCUUGGAAGCGGUCUCCUGCUCCGGCUCCACCUCCUCCUCGGGCUCCUCCUGCACCUCCUCCACCGGCUGCUGCUUGCGGCCCAGCAGACCGCCGAACAACUGCUGCUUGGCACCGUUUCCGUUUCCGUUGGUGUUUCCAUUACCGCUUCCGUUUCCGUUGGCAGCCUUGGCGGGCGCGGCCUUUCCGUUACCGUUGCCGUUGGCCCUGCCGUUGGAGCCGCCGCCAGAGGCUGGCUUCUUCACCCCGAGGAUGUUGGGCACCUGCAGGGCAGGCCGCACAGAUGGUGCGGGGCAGAGAGGCACAGCGGCGGCACCGUGUGAGUUGGCUGCUUGAGGGGCUGAUAUGGAUACUGCUGUAUGACCGGCCCCUGAGCGACCCCCGCUGCCGCGAGCACGACCUUUGGCACUCAUAUGAUUCUAUCGACCUAACGCGGCGACGCCCACCGGUUGCAUCGCUCGAGGACACCGUCGCGACUGGCUAGCGGGCUAGCUGGCACUGGCUGAAUCGCUGGCUGCUGAAUCGCUGGCUGAUUGGCGCACGCACACACACACACACACACACACACACACACACACACACACACACACACACACACACACACACAGAGAGAGACACACACAUAGACAGACACACACACAGACACACACUGACACACACUGACACACACUGACACGCACGCACACACACACGCACACACACACACACACUCAUGCUCAAGCUGGGCACGAGCUCUGCAACGCACUUCGCUGCGCCGGCGCCUGCUCCGCCCUCUCGCCCGAGCACGCGCCCACACCAGCCACUCCACCCGCCGCCGCCACGACCACCCGCCCGCCGCCGCCCAGCGCCCGCCUGCUCCCUGUCCUCUACGCCGGCAGCAGUGAGCGCGGCACGCUCACCUUGACCUUUGCCUCGACCCGAGCGGCAGCCGCCGCCGCAGCUGCGGCCGCGCCAGCGGCGGCCAUGGGCCCGGUAGGCUUCACCGGCGUGGUUGGCUUGGCACCCUUGCCGCCGCGGGCGUUGUUGAUCGCCGAGCCGACCUGCAUUGCGGAUGGGGCCGCACCGUAUGGAUCCUGGAAAGUUGGGGGGCGUGGCAUAAGGUCAGGGUGUCGGGGUGCUUCAGGCCCACGGCCGCGUGUGCGUGUCACCGUCGGUGAGCGGUGGCAGGCCACAAGACCCGAGCGCCUUCGGCAGCCCCUGAGAGCUGCCCUGCCUCCCUCCCCGAGCGACCUCGAGCGCAUCGUGCGCCCCCUGUCCAAAUGCCCCUGCUCGACCUUGAACCCGGCUUGCCAACCCCGUCAACCACGCCACAACCCCUUUACCGGACCCUGCCCCCUCCCCCUUCCUCAUCUUCCUACACCUCCCCUCCUUCCUCCCCUUCCCCUCCUUCCCCUCCCUCCCCUGCCCAUCAGGCCAUCGCUCACCGACUCCGACAUGGCCUCCCGCCGCUCCACCAGGCGCGCCUUGAGCUCGUUCUGGCGCUCCUGCCACCAGGCAAUGGUCUGGCUGCCCUCGCGGGGCGCCACCGGCGCCGGCUCCUGCAGGCCCAACUCCUGUGGGGGGCAGGGAAGCAAGGGGGGGUGGGGCAGGGGCAACACCGUGUGGAACGGAAACACCCGGACAUGGGUAGCUGUGAGAGGAGAGGACGUAUCCCUUGCACCUGUGCGGUGCACGUAACACCACGUGGUCCCUCCCACCCCUGCUUCACAGUCUCCGUAGCGCUGCCACGCUCCCGCACCACUGGCCCCCACCGGUAUGUGUGUGUAUGUGUGUGUAUGAACACCGCCCCGCUCUCCUAGCCCGGUCCCUUCACGCGCCCGCUGUGCCUCCGCCUGCCCCGCGACCAAUCCGAGACCUAGUCGUCGUGCUGGCGUAAAAGGACGCCCCCUACGCCGGCCCCUUUUCCCUGAUAUCACACAGGUGCGCUAACACAUCCCUCUCCCUCACUCCCUCUCCCUCACGCUCCCCGGCGCUCACCUCCAUCAGCUGCGCCUCCGUGAGUGCGCCCUGGUUCACCUUGAGGAUGGCCUCCUCCUGCGAACAGGCGGCAGGCGGCAGGGGCAGCAGCAACAGCCAGCGAUGAGGGAACCCCAGGACCAGAUUGAUUCUCCUUACUCGUCAAACAAGCUCUCUCUCACCCGUGCCCCUCCCACCACCGCCCCUCCAACUACGGCCCCUCCCACCACCGCUUCUACCACCACCGCCCCUCCCACCGCCGCCCCCUCCCACCGCCGCCCCUUCCCCUCCACCCCGGCACCCAGCUCUCACCAUUGACGCCAGGCCCGCGUCCUUGGCCGCCUGGCCCAGGCUCUUGCCUG
rnacentral:lncRNA from 1 species